rnacentral:tRNA from 2 species
GCCCGGCUAGCUCAGUUGGUAGAGCAUUCGACUCUUACAGGGUUCUCCAUCCACCUCCAGGGGUGCUGGCAUCGAAUUGUCGUGGGUUCGAGCCCCACGUUGGGCG